CAAUAGCGUAUAUUAAAGUUGUUGCAGUUAAAAAGCUCGUAGUUGGAUUUGUGGCGUACGGUGUGUUCCGGGCACUUGUUGUCUGAGUAACCUGCUGUUGCCAUCCUUGGGUGGAACCUGUGUGGCCUUAGGUUGUCGUGCAGGGGAUGCCCAUCAUUUACUGUGAAAAAAUUAGAGUGUUCAAAGCAGGCUUAUGCCGUUGAAUAUAUUAGCAUGGAAUAAUGAGAUAGGACUUUUUUGCUAUUUUGUUGGUUUGCGCAAAGAGGUAAUGAUUAAUAGGGACAGUUGGGGGUAUUCGUAUUCCAUUGUCAGAGGUGAAAUUCUUGGAUUUUUGGAAGACGAACUACUGCGAAAGCAUUUACCAAGGAUGUUUUCAUUAA
rnacentral:rRNA from 1 species